rnacentral:rRNA from 1 species
UACGGGGGAGGCAAGCGUUGUUCGGAAUUACUGGGCGUAAAGGGUUCGUAGGCGGCCAACUAAGUCAGACGUGAAAUCCCUCGGCUUAACCGGGGAACUGCAUCUGAUACUGGAUGGCUUGAGUUCGGGAGAGGGAUGCGGAAUUCCAGGUGUAGCGGUGAAAUGCGUAGAUAUCUGGAGGAACACCGGUGGCGAAGGCGGCAUCCUGGACCGACACUGACGCUGAGGAGCGAAAGCCAGGGGAGCAAACGGG